rnacentral:tRNA from 1 species
GGCCGUGUGCCCGAGUGGUUCAGGGACUCGACUGCAACUCGAGUUACGGGAGUUCGAUUCUCCCCACGGCCU